GUCGAAGGUGGGGCUGAUGACUGGGGUGAAGUCGUAACAAGGUAUCCGUACCGGAAGGUGCGGAUGGAUCACCUCCUAACAGGGAGACAACACAAUGAUUUUGAUGCCUGAGUAUUUUUAUUCUUAGGCCGAAAUCCUGUCACCUUAGGUCGAUCGGUACCUCAGCUUUGAAGUUAAGAAUUAGCAGCAAUGUUGAUUGCUUGAUGGAGAUUUUCAGUUCCUAAACUUUGUCUAGGUCACACCCCAAAAGGGAUGAGACUCCUGGGCCAUUAGCUCAGGUGGUUAGAGCGCACCCCUGAUAAGGGUGAGGUCCCUGGUUCAAGUCCAGGAUGGCCCAUUCGGUGUUGGGGGUUUAGCUCAGUUGGUAGAGCGCCUGCUUUGCAAGCAGGAUGUCAGGAGUUCGAGUCUCCUAACCUCCACUGACCGAACUUUAUCCCCGCUCCAUUCAAUGGAGUUGAGCUCGAUUGGUGUGUGAUUUAGAUGUGUCCGCUGGAUGACCCCAGCUUCCUGUCAUUCCAAGUUUUAAGUUUAAAGCUUUGAAUUUGGUUGAUAAGAUGCUGGGCUCGGAUCAAAUGAUCGAGCAAUUGAUGAUUUGAUUUGAAGUUCUAGCAGAACCUUGACAACUGCAUAGGUGAAGUCUGGAAAAACAAAGCAUCUUACAGAUGCAUUGUUUUGAGUCUAAUUUUCUGAAAGGAAGGUUAGAUCCAGAACAAUGAAAAUUCUUUUGAGCAAGAGCCGAGACUCUUGAAUGUUCUUUGAUUCGUGUCGAGCGAAUCAGAGUUUGAUCUUGUUUUUAGCAAUAAAAACUUGAGAAUCUGCUUUCAACGGCGGUAAGCGUUCAAGAGGUUAAUUGGUCAAGCUACAAAGGGCUCACGGCG
rnacentral:misc_RNA from 1 species